UUUUGUCGUUUGUUUGCGUUUUGUUUUGUGGGCUUCGUUUCGUCAUCUCUUGUCUACACUUCCUCUUUGUUCGUUCUUUCGCUUGGUUAGAUAUCGAUCAAUUUGAACAAUAUUUUCGUUAGUUAUACAAAAGUUAAAUAUUCAUUUUACAAAUAUGUAUAUAUAUGACAUAUAUAUAGCAUAUAUAUUCAUAUCUCUUUUGUUUCGCUUUCGAUAAGAGCUCAUUGCAAAAGUACUUUGAUUAUUAAGUAGAAUUUAGAAUUGAAUUUGCCUCUUUUAUUUUUUAUAUAU